UGCCUUUGAAGCGCCCGCCUUUUGACGUUCGUGCAUCCCAUCUUGUGUCAUCGAAAUUCCCGGCAACUUUCCACGGAUUCUCCGACGAGCUUUGAGAGCUCUCUUCCUGGCUCCUCUCGCGAGGAUAAACUUUCGCGCCCAGGAGGGAAUAUUUUGCCAAUAUUCGCCACUGUUUUAGAGAGGGAACAUCACCAGGCUGACGUAGUUUGGAUCUGCUCCGAUAAUAAAGCUUUGAUAAAAGCGGACAGCUUUCCACACUUACUACACGAUGCUAAACGUU
rnacentral:lncRNA from 1 species